rnacentral:rRNA from 1 species
GCCUACGGGGGGCAGCAGUGAGGAAUAUUGGUCAAUGGUCGGGAGACUGAACCAGCCAAGCCGCGUGAGGGAUGAAGGUACAGAGUGUCGUAAACCUCUUUUGUCAGGGAACAAAGGCGGGGACGUGUCCCCGGAUGAGUGUACCUGAAGAAAAAGCAUCGGCUAACUCCGUGCCAUCAGCCGCGGUAAUACGGAGGAUGCGAGCGUUAUCCGGAUUUAUUGGGUUUAAAGGGUGCGCAGGCGGUCUGUUAAGUCAGCGGUCAAAGCCCGGGGCUCAACCCCGGCCCGCCGUUGAAACUGGCAGU